GACGAAUCUAUUGCCCGCCGAGCCCGCUGCUUACCGGCACCGGGGGAGGGCGGCGAAAAGAGGAAUCG
rfam:Comamonadaceae bacterium SCN 68-20 ABT02_C0029, whole genome shotgun sequence.